rnacentral:misc_RNA from 1 species
CCAAAUCCUCAUCGGUAGCGACGGAAAUAAGGGAAUCCAAGUCCUCGCUGGGGAGCUGAUACUUGAGAGUGAAAGGACGGCCGUUGAGCAGAGUAUUCGAAAGACGAGACGAUAGAGAAGAGAGAGUAGUGGUGCGGUCGACAACAACGAUGCGUGUGUCGCCGCAAACGUAGCACAACGACUUGUCGUGGGGGCGAGGAACGAUGUGGCCACCGUAGGAGCACAUGAGGCGGAGCUUUGAGGAGAGGGGAGG